rnacentral:lncRNA from 10 species
GCUACGUUUCUUUCCGCUGAGACUUGAGAGGCCAGGGAGCAGAGGCGGCCAGCCGAGUGGGCGAGAGCCCGGCCUGACGUGGGGAGGAGACGUCUUCUCGUCGGGAGGCUAGGGUCUGAGGCCAUUUGGUGUUCCCACUGGAGUCUUGUUAAAAAAAGGCAAGGAGAGAAAAAGCAUGUAAUAAAGAACAUUGCAACACAUCUCCGUGAAAACAUCCCCCCUGACAUGGAUCUGGUGCUCAGAUAAACUUGUCCCCAGGUUUCUGAGAAAUGCUACUGCCAGGCCUGGAUGUUGGCCAGGAAGGGAAAGAUCAAAGGGAAGCCAGGCUUUCUUUAGAUGAGCAACCAUGGUGGCUGCUACUUCCUGUGGAGCAAGAGGAACGUGGACUGUAAGGGUCAUGUGCACGGGGUGGGAAGCGCUGGUGGGUGAGCUGGGGUCCCCCCAAUGAUGGAUUGUUGGGGAGCUUUCUUUCAAGGCACUAAUAAACACACAAGCGGCUCCAGUUCUUGAAAAAUG